rnacentral:misc_RNA from 1 species
UUUCUUUUUUUUUAUUGAGAAAAGAAGCAUAACAAACUGUUGGCAAAAUGAAAUGUUAUAAAGAUGGGUGAGUGGCAAUGUUACCUAUGCUAUAUAGUUGGUGUAGUUCUAUCUUAUGUCCAUGUGUCUACAGGGGAAUAACUGCAUUCUAUCUGAACUCUCGUUACCUUUUCUUUCUUUGUUUUGUAGGUCUGAUUCCCAGGUUUUAUGUGAUUGUAAAAAUCUCUAUUCCUUCCUUUUCCUUUUCCUUUUCCUU